rnacentral:lncRNA from 1 species
UUUUCAACUAACAAAGCUUAAAGUACUUUGCAAAAUGAUGUAUUUUUUCCACUCUCUGAAUUAAGUCUUCCGUGUGUCUUUUGUUCCUAUGCAGUGAUGGAUUCUCCUCCAGGCCCAGUUGUGUUGAAGAAGCAGAAGGACAGUGUUCCCCAGUCUGUAUUCACUAUUCCCCCUGAACUGGAUGUGUCGCUACUGCUGGAGUUUGUAGGGGCAGAAGGGCAUAACUUCAAGUUGUUUUGUGAGAUGACGCUUGACAUUGCCAGUUGCAGUGCUAGUUUCCAUUGUGGAUUGGAUGAUGCACUGUCCAGAGCGUUUCCAUAGUGACCGUAUUGUUUCCAGUCAAACAGCUAUUAGUGAGAGAUCCAACGCAUCUCAAAGUACGUGAAUUUUGAUAAGAUGUUUCUUACAAUUAGAAGGUAUGUGCUGAAUACAAUAACCUUUCACACAUAGCAGCAUGAUCAUGUUGUGAAGUAUUUCUUUUUGCUAAAGUCAAUUUAGCUAAAAAUUGCUAGUUGCCUUCUUUGAGAAUUAUUGCAGAUGUUGAAUGAAAACCAGGGGGUUUAUCUUGAAUCAUGGGUUCUUUAUAGACGUGAUAAUAUUCUGUGUAUGUAAGUAAUUAAGCUAACUAGCAGGAGCUGAAGUUUUAGGUAAGGUAAGGGGUAAGAUAAUCUUUAGUGCCUGCCACAUCACGGUAAAUUAAACUGACCCCCAGCUCUGCUGCGAACACCAGCAGGGCAGAACCCCAUAGAAGUACAGCAGUCUAUUAAUUGCAACGACUGUUGUGUUAGUUAUGCUUAGUAUGUUGUGUAUUAAUAAGAUAAAAUGUUAUCGCUGUCUUCUAAAUAGAAUAAGCCUGAAGAAUUGGACUCAGCUAAUGCUGGGGCUGCAGCUGCAUACUGGUUGCCAGUAGAAAUGAGGAAAAACCUCCUUGUUCAGGACCAGAGGUGGGUUUCCAACACCCUUUUUCUCUCUGGCAAACUGCGACCAGAUCUGAGGCUGUGGUAUGAGCCUCCAGUCCUGGAGCGGAUUUACCACCAAACGCCAACACCAG